rnacentral:rRNA from 1 species
UACAGAGGGUGCAAGCGUUGUUCGGAAUUAUUGGGCGUAAAGGGCGCGUAGGCGGUGCGGUAAGUCUGCAGUGAAAUCUCUGGGCUCAACUCAGAGUCUGCUGUAGAAACUGCCGUGCUUGAGUGUGGGAGAGGUGAGUGGAAUUCCCGGUGUAGCGGUGAAAUGCGUAGAUAUCAGGAGGAACACCUGUGGCGAAAGCGGCGCACUGGACCACAACUGACGCUGAGGCGCGAAAGCGUGGGUAGCAAACAGG